rnacentral:rRNA from 1 species
UACGUAGGGGGCAAGCGUUAUCCGGAUUUACUGGGUGUAAAGGGAGCGUAGACGGCCAGACAAGUCUGAAGUGAAAAUCCAGCGCUUAACGUUGGAAGUGCUUUGGAAACUGCCGGGCUAGAGUGCAGGAGGGGCAGGCGGAAUUCCUAGUGUAGAGGUGAAAUGCGUAGAUAUUAGGAGGAACACCAGUGGCGAAGGCGGCCUGCUGGACUGCAACUGACGUUGAGGCUCGAAGGCGUGGGGAGCAAACAGG